GUUAAAAGCACCCAGAUCACCUCCUGAGACAGGGGUGUUGUGUGUCUCCUGAGUGCCCUGAGGUCCGGCGCCUUCCCGGAGUUCUAAAAGGAGCAGAGCAGCUGUGCUUGGUGGGUGGGACGCGCGGCCGAGGGCCAGGACUGAGCCUUCCUGCUGCGGACUGUGUUGUGUGAGCAGGUCGGGGAUCAAGCAAGAGUCUGUUUCUUUGAAGAAUUCCCCCAGGAGCCGCGUGUCAUGCCAGUGUUCUCUAAGAGGACAGAAAAUGUCUUCUGUUGCCAGAUGGAAGGGAAAGACGAGGAAGGGUAUACUGGAAAGGAGCUUGACGAACGCGUGAUUUUUCGAGAAAGUUGCCUGUAGAACAGACACCCUGAAACACAGGGAGCUAAUCAACCAUGACAAGAACAAAAGGCCAGCAGCCAGGGGAAGGGGAAAUAAGGAGCCUGGAUCAUCUGCAAAUUGGACUGUAGGCUCACGAACUGAUGGUAUCCCAAUUCACAGGGGCGAGAUGGUCUCGCUGUCCUUCACCCUCCUUGUAACUCAUAACAAAGACCUCCUGCAUGAGGUCCCUCCCCUCCAUGGAACCCACCCACCAGGGCAGAAGUGCAGAAAGUGUGGGGUGGGAGGGGAGGAAGGAACGGCAUGCAAAUCCCCACAGGUGCAGGAUGUAAAACGGAAGUGGCCCCCGGGGAGGCGAUGGGGCAGCUGUACCCACUUUGCAUAUACUCAUCGCAGGCUAAAGUUAGGUUCUGGCUCACACCACGUGGAGGGGCCACAUUCACCUACUCCCCACCACUGAGCAGGGGGCUUGUCUGGGCUUUGCUUAGGACGGGGUCUGGUUUGCCCUUUCAGAGUCAUAGAUUGGGCACCUGGUCAUCGUUGUUUGGGGUAAGGUCAGGGAAAAAUCACAACUGCUCCUUCCCUCCCCACAACCAAGUCUGAACAUCACAGAUUUAAAAUCUGCCUGAAACGGACCUGAAGGAUUGUCAUGUCUUGCCCAGUCAUCUUGAUGCUGUUAAGCCCAUCUCCUUCUUUGCUCCACCCCAUCUAAAACAUCACCAGAUCCCAUAAAAGAGGCCCCAACCUGGUAUUGCUCAUGGACCUCACCAGAACCGUUUCCACCAACCGGUCUCCUACAACAUUACUUGCUGCGCUCGGCACCCAUCCAACCCCUGACCCCACAAUGGGCCUUCGUUUUUGUGGUCUGGCCUCAGCCCUUACACCCAACGCUCAGCUUCUCUGGCCUCCAGUUUUGCUUUCUUCCUCAGCCAUGGUUUGCAUUCCUAUUGAAGCGAGCUGCCUUGAGCCACGCAGGCCCUGAGGUGUGCAGGACCCAGGCAGGUGGAGAAGGAUAGCCGCCCCAAAGACCAAAGCGGGAGGAUGGGUGACAGCCGAAGAGCCCAUGUGGAGAGGAGAUCUGUGGGCUGCAAGUGCCAAGUGGAGAUGCCUGCGCCCCUCAGGCUUGUUAGUGCCCCCCACCAGCUCCAGCCUCCUCUCAGCUGUGGGAUCUGAGCAGAACACUAAAGUCCAGGCCAGGGAACUAGGGCCCUAUUUGCCAGAUGCCAGGGGCACCUGUAUUGUGCUAAAGGCAUGGUGCCCCAUUGUGUCUUUGAAAGACUGCACAUUACACAGAGGAUUUAUUUAUUUUUUAGAAAGGGGUGGGAGGAAGAAAGGGUGGUGUUCCAGGCAGGAUGUGAGGCAUCCAGUCGCUGCCUUGUAUCAGUGGUUGUCAGGGAUGGACAAAGGCUUGUGCACAGCCUUCUCCGUGACCCUGUGUGAGUGGGAGGCGGGAGGGAGGCUAGCCGGGGUGGAGACUGAGGAGUGCUUGGAACCCCUGCCCCAUCUCCACCUCAGGCAGCCGGCCCAGACCCGCUGAGUGGGAGCACAUUCCUUUUUUGGUCCUGGAAAUUGAGGGCUAUUCUCUUGUCUGGAGAAAGCUAUAGAUUUUAAAGUCUUCCAGAACCGAGAGGCUGGUUGUGACGGGAUUCUGGUCACUAGAAUAACAGGUGAACACGAGGAUGGGC
ensembl:lncRNA